rnacentral:sRNA from 1 species
ACUGACCUCAUCCAUAGUGUGGUGUUUGCUCUAUGAGCAGUUGAUUCACCAGUUUUCAGAGCCCAAGUCUAAAAUCACAGAUCCUGUGGGGGAUCUGGGAGCAUCUGCCUUACCUUUAUGAAGGUUAUGGUCAGUUAAACCUUGCUUUCAAUGGGCUCACUUCGCUAUGGGAAGAAAAUUCUGCAGUUGUUAAAAACGAAAGGACACUGCCUUUUCCAAGGGAGCUGACAGCUAUUGGUUUUUCCGGAGAGGAUUACUGGUGAAGACAGUUAUGAAGAACAAGUAACUCUUGUAAAUAAACAGCAUGUUCUUGCUUAAAUAUUUCCCAGAACAGUUCUAAAGAAAUAUAAUACAGGUCCCUUAUUUCGCGUGAGUCUUUGGCGUCCACGACCUUGAGUCUGACGGAAAGUCAGUCGGCCUCAAGCAUGAAGCAGGAGUGGUCCCAGGGCUACAGAGCCCUCCCUUCGCUCUCCAACCACGGCUCUCAGAAUG